GAGUUUGAUCCUGGCUCAGGAUGAACGCUGGCGGCGUGGAUAAGGCAUGCAAGUCGAGCGGGCUGUUAUCUUCGGAUAAUAGUCAGCGGCGAACGGGUUAGUAACGCGUAGGUAUUUACCUCUGUCUCGGGCAUAACCCGCCGAAAGGCGGGCUAAUUCCCGAUAGUCUCUUUGGAGUAAAGAUUAAGAGCAAUCUUUUUUGGACAGAGAGAAGCCUGCGUCCUAUCAGCUUGUUGGUAGGGUAACGGCCUACCAAGGCGAUGACGGGUAGGGGGUGUGAGAGCAUGGCCCCCAACAAUGGGACUGCGAACGGCCCAUACACCUACGGGUGGCAGCAGUCGAGAAUCUUUGGCAAUGGGCGAAAGCCUGACCAAGCGACGCCGCGUGAACGAAGAAGCCCUUCGGGGUGUAAAGUUCUUUUAUUAGGGAAAAAUAGGAUUUUUCCUAUGAUGGUACCUAAUGAAUAAGGGGCUGCUAAACUCGUGAACAUUCCCGGGCUCGUCCGGGAAGGCGCGACUCCCAAGAGUAAUCUUGGGAUGCAUAACUUGGCUUAUAUGCUGGAACAUCCAAUUAACUAAGAGCUACUCUUUUAGAGUGACAAUGCUCUUAAAGCUCUUUUUGAGCGUUGGACAAUCAGCAGGGAAGUAAGUUAUAAUUGGAGUAAAGGAAGAGAAAAAUUUCUUCACUUGGUAAAACCUUAUAUUCUUAAUUGUUUUAAACAUAAAUUACCUCCAAUAUAACUUACCCUUCAGAGACUGAAGUCGUUUUUUAACGACUGAGAUAGUAGAUACUAGAUAAUCUAGAUAAAAACUACUAUCAUACGCCGAGAAUCCUAAACUAUUAGGAUUAUGAGAUAGUCCAUUGACUACAACACAUUUAUAUCUAUGUGUCAAUAGCCAGCAGCAGCGGUAAGACGAGUGCCCCAAGCGUUAUCCGGAAUUAUUGGGCGUAAAGCGUGAGUAGGCGGUUUUGAUAGUGGGUGGUUAAAUUUCGGGGCUCAACCCCGAAGCCGCCAUCCAAACGUCAAAACUAGAGCAGGUGAGAGGCUGAUGGAACCUACCAAGUAGGGGUGAAAUCCGUUGAUAUGGUAGGGAACACCAAAGGCGAAGGCAUUCAGCUGGCGCCUGGCUGACGCUGAAUCACGAAAGCGUGGGGAGAAAAAAGGAUUAGAUACCCUUGUAUUCCACGCCCUAAACGAUGCCAACUAGCCGUCGGGAGUAUCGACCCUCUCGGUGGCGAAGCUAACGCGUUAAGUUGGCCGCC
rfam:Parcubacteria bacterium GW2011_GWF2_38_8 TT09_C0048, whole genome shotgun sequence.